AUUGAACGCUGGCGGCAGGCCUAACACAUGCAAGUCGAGCGAGCGGCGGACGGGUGAGUAAAGUAUGGGGAAUGCCCGAGAGAGGGGGAUAACUACGGGAAACGGUAGCUAAAACCGCAUACUAUCGGAUAACCCAUAUGGGAUUAUCUAGUAGGUGAGGUAAAGGCUCACCUAGGCGACGAUCCCUAGCUGGUCUGAGAGGAGGAUCAGCCACACUGGGACGGAGACACGGCCCAGACUCAUACGGAGGCAGCAGUGGGGAAUAUUGCACAAUGGGCGCAAGCCUGAUGCAGCCAUGCCGCGUGUAUGAAGAAGGCCCUCGGGUUGUAAAGUACUUUCAGUCGGGAGGCGUUACCGGCAGAAGAAGCACCGGCUAACUCCGUGCCAGCAGCCGCGGUAAUAC
rnacentral:rRNA from 1 species